GGAAAAGUCAAAAAAAGGUUUGAGUAUGUUGGAAGACUAAUAUGCAUAUGAUGUAAUCUCCAAAACUGUCGGUCUCUAAAACUAUGGGAUUCAUUGCAAAGAAGGCAGAAACUGAAGACUUUAUUCUUUCUUACUCAAGAAAAAUACCUGUUCAAGUCAGCAAGUAGUUUGUUUGAGUGAGGGCAGUGAAACUAGUCCAUAGUGGAAAUUUUUUAAAAAGAGAGGUGUCAUCGUUUCUUUUCCAGCAUCAAUCCAUUGUGAAUCAUGCACAGACAGCAGAGAAAGAACAGAACCUACCGCAGCCUUUGAGCAGCAAG